UCUGCCCUACACAAGAGGACAACAGUUGGAAACGACUGCUAAUACUCUAUACUCCUGCUUAACACAAGUUGAGUAGGGAAAGUUUUUCGGUGUAGGAUGAGACUAUAUAGUAUCAGCUAGUUGGUAAGGUAAUGGCUUACCAAGGCUAUGACGCUUAACUGGUCUGAGAGGAUGAUCAGUCACACUGGAACUGAGACACGGUCCAGACUCCUACGGGAGGCAGCAGUAGGGAAUAUUGCAACGCCGCGUGGAGGAUGACMCUUUUCGGAGCGUAAACUCCUUUUCUUAGGGAAGAAUUCUGACGGUACCUAAGGAAUAAGCACCGGCUAACUCCGUGCCAGCAGCCGCGGUAAUACGGAGGGUGCAAGCGUUACUCGGAAUCACUGGGCGUAAAGGGCGCGUAGGCGGAUUAUCAAGUCUCUUGUGAAAUCUAAUGGCUUAACCAUUAAACUGCUUGGGAAACUGAUAGUCUAGAGUGAGGGAGAGGCAGAUGGAAUUGGUGGUGUAGGGGUAAAAUCCGUAGAUAUCACCAAGAAUACCCAUUGCGAAGGCGAUCUGCUGGAACUCAACUGACGCUAAGGCGCGAAAGCGUGGGGAGCAAACAGGAUUAGAUACCCUGGUAGUCCACGCCCUAAACGAUGUACACUAGUUGUUGGGAUGCUAGUCAUCUCAGUAAUGCAGCUAACGCAUUAAGUGUACCGCCUGGGGAGUACGGUCGCAAGAUUAAAACUCAAAGGAAUAGACGGGGACCCGCACAAGCGGUGGAGCAUGUGGUUUAAUUCGAAGAUACGCGAAGAACCUUACCUGGGCUUGAUAUCCUAAGAACCUUUUAGAGAUAAGAGGGUGCUAGCUUGCUAGAACUUAGAGACAGGUGCUGCACGGCUGUCGUCAGCUCGUGUCGUGAGAUGUUGGGUUAAGUCCCGCAACGAGCGCAACCCACGUAUUUAGUUGCUAACGGUUCGGCCGAGCACUCUAAAUAGACUGCCUUCGUAAGGAGGAGGAAGGUGUGGACGACGUCAAGUCAUCAUGGCCCUUAUGCCCAGGGCGACACACGUGCUACAAUGGCAUAUACAAUGAGACGCAAUACCGCGAGGUGGAGCAAAUCUAUAAAAUAUGUCCCAGUUCGGAUUGUUCUCUGCAACUCGAGAGCAUGAAGCCGGAAUCGCUAGUAAUCGUAGAUCAGCCAUGCUACGGUGAAUACGUUCCCGGGUCUUGUACUCACCGCCCGUCACACCAUGGGAGUUGAUUUCACUCGAAGCCGGAAUACUAAACUAGUUACCGUCCACAGUGGA
rnacentral:rRNA from 1 species